UUACGACCGAGAUGGGACGCCGUUUAUGUGGUUGCCAAAGAUCGGAGGUCGGGAUGUGGAUUUGCACCGGUUGUAUUCGGUGGUGGUGGCCCGGGGUGGGUAGACGAGAUUGACGUUGAAGCAGAUUUACAUCCGCUUUUUGAACAAGUACGAAAAAGUUAAUUUUCACGGUGAGGAGAAGGAUCCGACGGAAGAGGGAAACGACGAGUAGCGGCAUAAUCGGAGGUGGUCAGCGCGGAUGUUGCACUCGGUGCCGGCGGUUUACGACCAUCAGCAGCAUUAUGUGCCAGAAGUGAUGACGGGACAGUGCGGGAUGUCCCGAGGGUCCGCAGUCCAUUUCUCGUUGCGGGACGAGUAUUACCUAAACAUCCGGAAGAACAGUUUGCACUAGUUCUGGAAGGACCGUCUGUACGAAAGCCGCAGGUCCUGGAGCUGUCGUACUUAGAUUACUUCCAGAGUUUGGCGCGAGAUCCGACGAACCUGAUCAAAAACAUCUACCUGGAAUACCGAAGAAGUUACAGCAACUUCCGCCCGCAAACGCUCAUCUCGCAACGGCGCAGCUUCGGCGGGAUGAACUUUGACGGCGAGUUGGAACAUCUGUGUCAUUCUCGAAGGAGGACGAAGUGAUCGGGAACUAUCCGUUCAGGCGCUUUACUUCCC